AGUGUGGUCGAUGAAGCGGUGAGAGGAGGUCGUGUAUUUAAUUCCAUCCCAGAAUGGAUUCGGCAUUACGUGAACAGGUCAUGAUAAACCAGUUUGUAAUGGCUGCAGGGGCCACGAGAGAACAGGCGAGACAGUUGUUACAGUCAGCUCACUGGCAGUUUGAGACGGCACUGAGCAUAUUUUUCCAAGAGGCGGUGCCCAACGGUGGAGCAUCGCAACACCACCUCAAUCACGUGAGUAGAAAU